GCCAGUGUGGCUCAGUGGAUAGAGCUUCGGCCUGCAGACUGAAGGGUCCCAGGUUCGAUUCCUGGUCAGGGCU
rnacentral:tRNA from 1 species